CGCCGUUUCUCUCCACCCUUUCCCCCCAUCUUCUUCUUCUUCUUUUCCCCCUCAGCAGCCGUUCUAACUCCGAAUGAAGGAUCCAGACCACUGACGAAAGAAGCCUAAGGACUCGGCCACAGACGAAAUAGACCUAGGACCUCCUCAAACAAACCGACACCCCUCAAAUGACCAAAACCUUCCCUAAUCUUCUCCGACACCCUCUGAAAAUAGGGUAAAUAAACGUGAACCAACGAGACCAUACCCUCCGACCACCGUUAGGAACCACCGAGGAAACCUAAACGACCGAAGACCCAACUCCACUGUUAUUUUAGUGCCCCGGAAAUCUCGACUCCGACGACUACUAAAAGACUCUAGCGGGGACCCGAACGACUAAGGCGGAGCCACCGAGACCCUACUGUCGUUUACACAACCAAGGGCAUGGGGUCUUCACGAGGGAGCAUGGACAGCAUGGGUGGUCUUCACGUAGGCGUUGUAGUGCUUCACAUGGACAGCUCGAUGGUGGACCACUAUGGCACUAAGUAUGGGUCUUUCUUGGUGGGUGACAACAGCACGGGCUUUGGUGAGUGGCGCACUGUCUCGGUGGUCUGGAGUGGUGUCGGGCGUGCGGUUGGCUGUGGCUUCUGCUCGGUCAGUGUGGCGCAUCAUAAGGUUUUCACGUGGGCAGCAGUGGCAUCGUGUUAAAGAUGGAAAUGGUGCAAAAUGGGUCGGGUCUGAUGUAGUGGGCUUCUAUUUUGAGGUUGAUGUUGGGCUCUGUAAUUGGGUCCAUUAUUUGUAAUUUGGUUUGGGCUUGUAAGAUGGA